rnacentral:lncRNA from 1 species
AUCAAACUCAGGGCUUUGAACAUGCUAGCCAAGUGCUCUACCACUGCUUUACACCCGUAACACUCCAUGUGUCUUUAAAACAAUGUAAAUAAAUGAUUCGUCUGGUCUCAUGAUGGAACUGUGUCUAGUCUCUUUCUGUCCUGGCUAAAUAACUGGCCAGGACAACCGAUUAACAGUGGCAAAGUUUGUUCAAGAAAGCAAAAAUGAAGAGUGGGAGAGAAAUCGGCUCUGCAGAGGGAGCUUGGGCCAAGUAAAGAGAAAAAGAGGGGAUUGAACUCGGGACCUUGCAUUUGCGAGGCAGGUGGUGGAACCAC